UGUUCAUACGUUGACGGUAUUUAACCAGAAAGUCACGGCUAACUACGUGCCAGCAGCCGCGGUAAUACGUAGGUGGACAAGCGUUAUCCGGAUUUAUUGGGCGUAAAGAGAGUGCAGGCGGUUUUCUAAGUCUGAUGUGAAAGCCUUCGGCUUAACCGGAGAAGUGCAUCGGAAACUGGAUAACUUGAGUGCAGAAGAGGGUAGUGGAACUCCAUGUGUAGCGGUGGAAUGCGUAGAUAUAUGGAAGAACACCAGUGGCGAAGGCGGCUACCUGGUCUGCAACUGACGCUGAGACUCGAAAGCAUGGGUAGCGAACAGGAUUAGAUACCCUGGUAG
rnacentral:rRNA from 1 species